rnacentral:rRNA from 1 species
GCAUAUCAAUAAGCGGAGGAAAAGAAACUAACAAGGAUUCCCCUAGUAACUGCGAGUGAAGCGGGAAAAGCUCAAAUUUAAAAUCUGGUGGUCUUUGGCCAUCCGAGUUGUAAUCUAGAGAAGUGUUACCCGCGUCGGACCGUGUAUAAGUCUCCUGGAAUGGAGCGUCAUAGAGGGUGAGAAUCCCGUCUUUGACACGGACUACCGAGGCUUUGUGGUGCGCUCUCAACGAGUCGAGUUGUUUGGGAAUGCAGCUCAAAAUGGGUGGUAAAUUCCAUCUAAAGCUAAAUAUUGGCGAGAGACCGAUAGCGAACAAGUACCGUGAGGGAAAGAUGAAAAGAACUUUGGAAAGAGAGUUAAACAGUACGUGAAAUUGCUGAAAGGGAAACGCUUGAAGUCAGUCGCGUUGGCCGGAAAUCAGCCUUGCUUUUGCUGGGUGUACUUUCUGGUUGACGGGCCAGCAUCAGUUUUGACCGGUGGAAAAAGUUCAAGGGAAUGUGGCAUCUUCGGAUGUGUUAUAGCCCUUGGUCGUAUACAUCGGUUGGGACUGAGGAACUCAGCACGCCGAAAGGCCGGGUCAUUGACCACGUUCGUGCUUAGGAUGCUGGCAUAAUGGCUUUAAUCGACCCGUCUUGAAACACGGACCAAGGAGUCUAACAUGCCUGCGAGUGUUUGGGUGGAAAACCCGGACGCGUAAUGAAAGUGAAAGUUGAGAUCCCUGUCAUGGGGAGCAUCGACGCCCGGACCAGAAGUUCUCUGACGGCCCUGCGGUAGAGCAUGUAUGUUGGGACCCGAAAGAUGGUGAACUAUGCCUGAAUAGGGUGAAGCCAGAGGAAACUCUGGUGGAGGCUCGUAGCGAUUCUGACGUGCAAAUCGAUCGUCAAAUUUGGGUAUAGGGGGCGAAAGACUAAUCGAAACCAUCUAGUAGCUGGUUCCUGCCGAG